rnacentral:ncRNA from 1 species
ACCAUUACUGAGAGGUAAUGCUGAGCGUAUAGAAGUCAGCAAAGGUCAUAGUAGCCGGAAGUUCUUUUACAGCGAAGGAC